rnacentral:rRNA from 1 species
CCUACGGGAGGCAGCAGUGGGGAAUAUUGCACAAUGGGGGAAACCCUGAUGCAGCAACGCCGCGUGGGUGAAGGAGCGUUUCGGCGCGUAAAGCCCUGUCAGCGGGGAAGAAGAAAGACGGUACCCGACCAAGAAGCCCCGGCUAAUUACGUGAAAGCAGCCGCGGUACUACGUAGGGGGCGAGCGUUAUCCGGAUUUACUGGGUGUAAAGGGAGCGUAGACGGCAAGGUAAGCCUGAGGUGGAAGUCCGCGGCCCAACGGCGGAACGGCUUUGGAAAUGGUUUGGUGGGAGUAGGGGGGGGUAAGCGGAAUGCGUGGUGUAGCGGUGAAAUGCGUAGAUAUCAGGAGGAACACCGGUUGCGAAGGCAGCUUACUGGACCAUAACUGACGUUGAGGCACGAAAGUGUGGGGAGCGAACAGGAUUAGAUACCCGGGUAGUC